rnacentral:rRNA from 1 species
AUACGGAAGGUCCGGGCGUUAUCCGGAUUUAUUGGGUUUAAAGGGAGCGCAGGCGGAGAUGCAAGCGUGACGUCAAAUUUCGGGGCUCAACCCCGUCUCGCGUCGCGAACUGCGUCCCUUGGUUGCGGGAAGGGGAGGCGGAACUCGUGGUGUAGCGGUGAAAUGCAUAGAUAUCACGAAGAACUCCGAUCGCGAAGGCAGCCUUCCGGCCCGUCAACGACGCUCAUGCUCGAAGGUGCGGGUAGCAAACAGGAUUAGAUACCCUGGUAGUCCGCACAGUAAACGAUGGACACCCGCGGUUUGGCCUGUAUGGCUGAGCCGCCAAGCGAAAGCGUUAAGUGUCCCACCUGGGGAGUACGCCGGCAACGGUGAAACUCAAAUGAAUUGACGGGG